rnacentral:sRNA from 14 species
UGCCUUGAUAAUUGUUAGUUGCUUUGGACAAAAGUGUCAGCAAAAUAAAUGUAA